CACGAACCGUACAAACGUUAUUCGGAAUUACUGGGCUUAAAGGGUGCGUAGGCGGCCCGGAAAGUUGGAUGUGAAAUACCUCGGCUUAACCGAGGAAUUGCGUUCAAAACUACCGGGCUCGAGGAAGACAGAGGUGAGUGGAACUUAGGGUGGAGCGGUGAAAUGCGUUGAUAUCCUAAGGAACACCAGUGGCGAAAGCGACUCACUGGGUCUUUUCUGACGCUGAGGCACGAAAGCCAGGGGAG
rnacentral:rRNA from 1 species